rnacentral:lncRNA from 1 species
AGUUAGUCCAUAAUUGAAUAAUAUUUGUCACAAACAAACGAAAGUGCUACAGUACCGAAAUCCGAAAUCUUUUCGAAACUAAACAAGGCCAUAGCAAAUGUAUGCUCCACAGUCACUGAUCUAUGCUACAUGCACACCUACAAAUGCAUCUAGAAAAUCUAACACCAUCGAAACAGAUGCACCAGGUCACCUCUAUAUUCUCACUAGAUCACCUCUAUAUUUUCUCUCUUUACUCAACCACAUGCAACGGCCAACUUUCAAUGUGUCUAGUCCUCCCGCGGCUCACGUCCUCCUCCCACAGCCAGCCCCCCACGCCCACGCUAAGUAGUCUAGGCUCCAUCCUUGGGUUGUCCCUUUUUUUAAAAAAAAAAUAUAAAACAUCAUCAUGUCCUCUUGCCUCCCCAUCCCGUACUCCCAU